GACGAACGCUGGCGGCGUGCUUAACACAUGCAAGUCGAACGGAAAGGCCUGCUUUCCCUUGUGGAUUGCGGGUACUCGAGUGGCGAACGGGUGAGUAACACGUGAGUGAUCUGCCCCCAACUUGGGUAUAAGCCUGGGAAACUGGGUCUAAUUCCCGAUAGGACUGCAGGGUGGUGCCUGUGGUGGAAAACGAUUUUCUAGUGGUUGGGGAUGAGCUCGCGGCCUAUCAGCUUGUUGGUGGGGUAAUGGCCGACCACGGCGGCGACGGGUAGCCGGCGUGGGAUCGGGCACAGUGGCAUUGAGACACGGUCACGGCCCCGACGGGUGCGAGCGGCAGGGAUGGGGAAGAAUUGGCAGUGAGCGGAAGCCAGAAGCGGCGAGGGCGUGAGGAAGAUGACGGGCUUCGAGUUGUAAGCUCCUUGCGACCGAGAGGAGUCUACCUGGUUGGAAGGGUGGUGACGGUAGUGAUAGAAGAAGCACCGGCUAACUACGUG
rnacentral:rRNA from 1 species